rnacentral:rRNA from 1 species
AGUAACACGUGGGCAACCUUUCCUAUCGCGGGGGAUAACACCGGGAAACCGAUGCUAAUACCGCAUGUCGUCACUGGUCGCAUGGCUGGUGAAGAAAGCAGCAAUGCACGAUGGGGUGGGCCCGCGGCCUAUCAGCUAGUCGGUGGGGUAACGGCCUACCGAGGCGAUGACGGUUAGCUGGUCUGAGAGGACGGCCAGCCACACGGGGACUGAGACACGGCCCCG